rnacentral:rRNA from 1 species
UAGGGAAUCUUCCACAAUGGACGAAAGUCUGAUGGAGCAACGCCGCGUGAGUGAAGAAGGGUUUCGGCUCGUAAAACUCUGUUGUUAAAGAAGAACAUAUCUGAGAGUAACUGUUCAGGUAUUGACGGUAUUUAACCAGAAAGCACGGCUAACUACGUGCCAG